rnacentral:lncRNA from 1 species
AAGUGACGCUGUGCAUGGGGCCUGGCACCGGAUGGGGACUGGCCUGGUAUAAAUUUCUCUCACUCUCUGGUUGCAGGCCUCAGCAAAUCAAGGUGAAGGCACCCACUUCAUCCUCUGUUUCUUUACUCUGUUCCCAAGGGACUCUAAAGGCCCAGCUGCUGCUCCAGUCACACCAUAGGCAAGCAGGGUCUGAGGGAAGACCAUGGCAAAGGGAGCCACCAGCAAGAGCAACCAUUGCCUGAUUCUGAGCCUUUUCAUUCUGCUGAGCUAUCUGGGGACCAUACUGGCAGAUGUGACUUGGCACCUUGGCUCUCCAUAGUUCCACACCACCCGGUCUUCAGUGGUUUGAAGAAGGAAGUCAUGAAAAAGUUAUGGCAGGGAUGGUGUGGGAGGAAUUACAUGGAUAAAUUGCACAGCCGGCAGAAACAAGCAUCUGGUGAUGCCCCCGACACCUGGUGUCUGCAGGGAGAUUAAACCAGUCACCAGACUGGAUAUACUGGGGACAAUGCUAGAAUGUAAGGCAGGCUAUGCUCUGAAGACUUCCUUCUCCUUGGAUUCCUCCCAAGCCCCACACAGGGACUUCUUUGUCCUUGAACUUUCUUUCCCACCAUCCUGUGGUACUUCUAGCAGGUCACAACAGGUACUUUGAGGGACAAGGUAGCCACACCACCCACUUUCUCACUUUUACUCCCUACACCCCUGUUUUUUUCAUCUCCUCCUUUCGUUUCGAUGUUUUGUUUUUAGGCAAGGCCUCACACUACCACUCUCACUGUAGAAUCAGAAACAAUCCCUUGUCUCUUGUGUUCAACCAAAUGCUGGGAUUACAGGUGUGUGCCACCAGGCUCAGCUUCAGUGUCUGUGUGACUCUUCAGCCACCAGCCUGCUCUCCCUUCCCUACCUUUCUAGCCUUCCUCACUUUUCUAUCCACUGAGUGUCUUUUAGACCCUCAUGUAGCAGACGGCAAUCUCCUGCCCAAAGACCACUCAUUAGGAGCUGAAACACCUUGUCCUCUGGAGGCCCCUGGCAAUGAUUCUGGAUGGGGACCUAUGGAAACCUCUGCCCUUGUUCCCAGGCCCCAUGUAAUCUACCUCCUGGCUAGAUAGCAUCAGAUAAUGGUGUUCAUUAGGCAGGAGUGGCUUCUUUAGUUCUGUAAACGUCAACACUAAGUUUUUAUUCAGUCUGGUGGGCCUCACUAUAUUUCUAGUUCUGCAUCAACUACUCAGUUCUGCUUUUGGUGUGACAGUGGCAGAAGGCAACAAUCUGAUGGCUGAGCAGCAGACUUGUCCUCAAACCUAGAUUAGGGUGUUUCCCAUGGACCAGUAUUGGUGCCCAUCCCCCCAGAGUGUCUUCAAGAGUAUUCUGAUAACUACAUCUUUUCCAGGCAGCACUGGGUUCUAUGCUGCCUGUGAAUCUGGGUCAGCUAGAAAUAACAGAAGGAGGUCCUGGGUUUAAAGGUCUUUUGGUCUCUCCAUGGCUGUCCAAUGCAUUCUUUGGAUCCCAUGGGGCACAGAGGACUCUCCUUAAAGCCUGAAGUGCUUGCCCAGGGAGAGGUGGAGAACUGACCUCAGUCUUUUUUUCUAGGUGAGAGAAGAUGAGAUAAGAUUUACAACCAUCUGGAGAACACUAGAUGCUCUGUCAGUCAAGAGUCCUUGUCCCUUUAUCCUAGGGAGCUCUGAACACAUGAGGGACCUGUUGAUUUUCUGCAUCAGUGUCUCAAUUCUGGAUACCUUGUCUGACUGUGAUAUGUCCAUCUAAUACCCUAGUGGGAAAUAGCUCAUCUCAUGAUGCCUUCCUGAGGCCUGAUGGUACUUCCAAUAGCCCGCAAACCAAAUGCCACUCUGUCCCAGAGCCCAUUAUCACCUCAGGAUCCAGGCUGGCUUCUACCCAAGCAAGGUGAUGCUCCAAUUACAAACUGCUCUGGGCCAUUUCCUAGGCUUAACUCCUCUUGCUGAUAGAUUGUUCCAGGCUAUGGAACACUAGAAGGAAAUCCAGUCUUGCUCCUCAUGGGUGUAUUAUCUCAGAAUGCCUUCAACCUACAAGAAUAGAGAUGAACAGGUGUAACUGAGACUCUGUGACCUACAAAUACUUCAAUUUUGACAUC